CAUGACUAUGAGUCAACAAUGAAGACUUGAUCAUCAAGACUGAUGGCGUCCCCUUCCUCCCACUGACCUCAGACAAAGAAUUUGUGUACUUUGUGCUGGCUUCACUCUGUCCAAGUUCAGAGGUGCCAGGGGAGAACUUGAGGAGAGAAGAGGAAUGAGCAUAGAAAACAGCAUCUCAAACUCACAUCCCCUCCCCUCUAAGACCAGGAAGGAGAAAGUCUUCCCAGCAGCAAAUCCUGGAGAAGGAUUCAAAUUGUCCUCUUUUGGAUCACAUCACCAUUUCUGAGAGCUUCACUGGGCUUUGUUACCAUAAGAAAUAGAAAGAAGUGCUGGGCAGAAAAUGAAAAAUGGCCAUUACAGUAAAAUGAAAAUGUGUUUGUAA